rnacentral:rRNA from 1 species
AUAGCGUAUAUUAAAGUUGUUGCGGUUAAAAAGCUCGUAGUUGAAUCUGUGUCCCACGCUGUCGGUUCACCGCUCGCGGUGUUUAACUGGCAUGACUGUGGGACGUCCUACCGGUGGGCUUAGCCUCUCGGGGCGGCCCAACUAAUAUCCCAUCGCGGUGCUCUUUACUGAGUGUCGAGGUGGGCCGGUACGUUUACUUUGAACAAAUUAGAGUGCUUAAAGCAGGCUAUCUUCGCCUGAAUACUGUGUGCAUGGAAUAAUGGAAUAGGACCUCGGUUCUAUUUUGUUGGUUUUCGGAACCCCGAGGUAAUGAUUAAUAGGGACAGAUGGGGGCAUUCGUAUUGCGACGUUAGAGGUGAAAUUCUUGGAUCGUCGCAAGACGGACAGAAGCGAAAGCAUUUGCCAAAAAUGUUUUCUUUAAUCAAGAACGAAAGUUAGAGGUUCGAAGGCGAUCAGAUACCGCCCUAGUUCUAACCAUAAACGAUGCCAGCUAGCGAUCCGCCGACGUUCCUCCGAUGACUCGGCGGGCAGCUUCCGGGAAACCAAAGCUUUUGGGUUCCGGGGGAAGUAUGGUUGCAAAGCUGAAACUUAAAGGAAUUGACGGAAGGGCACCACCAGGAGUGGAGCCUGCGGCUUAAUUUGACUCAACACGGGAAACCUCACCAGGCCCGGACACCGGAAGGAUUGACAGAUUGAUAGCUCUUUCUUGAUUCGGUGGGUGGUGGUGCAUGGCCGUUCUUAGUUGGUGGAGCGAUUUGUCUGGUUAAUUCCGAUAACGAACGAGACUCUAGCCUGCUAAAUAGGCGUACUUUCCGGUAUCUCGAAGGCCCCCGGCUUCGGUCGGGUGGUUUUUACUACCGGCGUACAAAUAAAUCUUCUUAGAGGGACAGGCGGCUUCUAGCCGCACGAGAU